UAAACCACUUCUCAACUUAUUUCCCAACUCUUGUUCAUUCAAUGCAUUUUUAUUUCUUUUCUUUUUCUUUCUUCUUUUUUCUUUCUUUUUGACUCAUGUUAUUAUUUUCUCAAUGCUCCCUUAUUUCAUAAACUCCCCCAAACUUAAACCAUUCUCCUCAUUCUAACAUAUAUGUUCAUCUCAGCUCAAGGUAAGGAGGUUAAGGAUUUUUCAAUGAGCUUAAGGUUNNAGGGAUGAGAAANUUUUUCUUCAAGGUUCAAGGGUUUUGCAUUGGCUUUUAGGCUCAAAAAUGUAGAAGAGGUCGAAGAACAAGAUGGCCUUGAUCAUUUGUAACAAGCAAGCAAAUAGUUCAAAUAGAGAAACUCAGGGAAAAUCAACUGUGAUUUCAAAGUGAUAGCACUCAACAAUAAACUCUGGGGCACAACAUCUCACAGGUUUACUCAGGGUUCCAAAUUUUUGACAAACAUCAUGCCUAGAAUAUUGAUCACAAUAAAAAUCAAGCAUCUAUCUAAGCAGAUACAAGCAACCACAAUCUCNGUUCAACAGGCUCAAACACAUCAUCUCAAUCAGAUAUUCAAAACAAUUCAACUGUAUAAUGAGCAAACACAANAGAUCUNUAUUCAAUUCAAGCAUAGCAUAUGAUUCACUUAAAUCACCAGACCAAUUGCAGAAGAACUAUCCACUAGGUAAGUCAAAAGAAAUCCAAAAGCUAAAAACUGAAAGCAAAUAAAAAAAAAAAACUUGAACUUAAAACUGAAAAACCAGUUAAAAUGGACUCUUUGAAGCUCCAGUAGUGUAGAACACUAGCUUCACUUAUUAUCUGAAACAUCUUCCUCAUC
rnacentral:lncRNA from 1 species